AUGUUCCGCCUCCUGCUUCAGGGGACAUGCCUUAGUCUGAAAAUCGCACAAGAUGUCUUCUGUCUUCUUUCCAGCCAGGAGAUAGCCCAAACCAAGCUGCUGCAGGUAUGUAACAAUGUUCUUCUGACCAAGUUAUUUGCAACUGAUGCUCUAUUUCAUCAUCUGAACAAUUCAACAUAUGAGGAAGCUCUGCAGGUAGAUCUAGAAACGGUGCCACUGUCGUCCGAUACACAGAGCUCCAAUGAUACAACCACAAUAACUGCAUCUAGCACAUCAUAUGUUCAUCAUAGCCAUGUCACAGUUGUAAAAUGA
rnacentral:rRNA from 1 species